GAUGAACGCUGGCGGCGUGCCUAAUACAUGCAAGUAGAACGCUGAAGGAAGGAGCUUGCUCUUUCCGGAUGAGUUGCGAACGGGUGAGUAACGCGUAGGUAACCUGCCUGGUAGCGGGGGAUAACUAUUGGAAACGAUAGCUAAUACCGCAUAACAGUAGAUGUUGCAUGAUAUCUACUUAAAAGGUGCAAUUGCACCACUACCAGAUGGACCUGCGUUGUAUUAGCUAGUUGGUGAGGUAACGGCUCACCAAGGCGACGAUACAUAGCCGACCUGAGAGGGUGAUCGGCCACACUGGGACUGGGACACGGCCCAGACUCCUACGGGAGGCAGCAGUAGGGCAUCUUCGGCAAUGGACGGAAGUCUGACCGAGCAACGCCGCGUGAGUGAAGAAGGUUUUCGGAUCGUAAAGCUCUGUUGUAAGAGAAGAACGAGUGUGAGAGUGGAAAGUUCACACUGUGACGGUAUCUUACCAGAAAGGGACGGCUAACUACGUG
rnacentral:rRNA from 1 species